UACGUAGGCAGCGAGCGUUGUUCGGAGUUACUGGGCGUAAAGAGUGCGUAGGCGGUUUUCUAAGUUUGGUGUGAAAUCUCCCGGCUUAACUGGGAGGGUGCGCCGAAAACUGGAAGGCUUGAGUAUGGGAGAGGUAAGCGGAAUUCCUGGUGUAGCGGUGAAAUGCGUAGGUAUCAGGAGGAACACCUGCGGUGUAGACGGCUUACUGGACCAUAACUGACGCUGAGGCACGAAAGCGUGGGUAGCAAACAGG
rnacentral:rRNA from 1 species